rnacentral:lncRNA from 1 species
GUCCCUAUUGCUGGGGUGCCCUCUUUACUUCUAUGCUCUAUUUUUCCCAUUUGGGUAUAUUUACAAAUGAAAUUUAUAAAAGUUUUCUUUGACUAUUUCUUUUUUGUGUUUUGUUUCCCAGGUCAGCAUGGAAGCUUCUUGUGUAAGAGACCAAAUGUUCUAUUUUUUGGGCACUGUUUCACAGUAUCUUUACACUACUUGAGGCUGCGGUGCUGUGGGCACUCAACAAAUGGUCUUGGCCAACUGACUCACUUCUGCUCAGACCAAGGAACAUAGAAGAAACUUAGUAAGUGGUUCCUAUGGCACUACAGUGGAAACACUGAUGCUUGAUCUCCCCGUUUACAUCCAUGUUCAAUCGCUUAUGGUCUAUCGCAACUCGACAGACUUUGGCACCCAUCUAUUCUCAAGGAUACAUAUGUAACGGGGACGUGCCUAAAAAGAAUCUAAUUUGGAAUCAACAGGGGAAGAAGUGGCCCCACAGACAUUUCAAUUACUGUCAAGCACUCACUUUUAGCCAUUGCCCAAUAGUUGGAAUCCUGAUGAUGCCUUUCUUUGUCCGUGUCCCUUAGGUACGUAUCUCCAGUUCUUAGAACAGUGCCUGACACUUAGUGGGUGACGUUUAAUUCAUCCUUAAUGAAUGCAGAAAUUCAGGUGUUAUUUACUUUUUUUUUUUUUUAUCUCACCAAGAACUCACUUUGACCAAAUAAAUCGACCCAAAUUAAAAGAAAAAAAAACCAGUCAAAAUGAAGAAUUCUACUGUGGUUGCGCAGCAUUUUAUUUGGUUUAGAUUCCCAGCCUCUUUGAUAAAGCUUUGCUUCUCACUGAACCAGACGUGUUGGGCAAUCUCUGAGUCAAGAGAAAAAAUCCUGAUUAACCUAAAUCCCAAUAAAUAUGACAUUACCAACCAGUAUGCUUUAAAACUUUGAUAUUUGUAAAUGGGAGCUAUAGACAAAUCUUACUAAACUUUUGUUUUAUAGAUUCUGGCUGUAUUAUUCACAUUGAAGGAAAUUUCAUCUUGCUCAUAGAAAACU